rnacentral:rRNA from 1 species
ACCGGGAUGGACGUACCGCUGGUGUACCAGUUGUUCCGCCAGGAGCACCGCUGGGUAGCUAUGUACGGACGGGAUAAGCGCUGAAAGCAUCUAAGCGUGAAGCCCCCCUCAAGAUGAGAUUUCCCAAUUAGUAAGACCCCUUGAAGACGACGAGGUAGAUAGGCUGGGGGUGGAAGUGCAGCAAUGCAUGGAGCUGACCAGUACUAAUCGGUCGAGGGCUUAUCCAAAAAAAACC